UGAACGCUGGCGGCGUGCCUAAUACAUGCAAGUCGAGCGAACAGACGAGGAGCUUGCUCCUCUGACGUUAGCGGCGGACGGGUGAGUAACACGUGGAUAACCUACCUAUAAGACUGGGAUAACUUCGGGAAACCGGAGCUAAUACCGGAUAAUAUAUUGAACCGCAUGGUUCAAUAGUGAAAGACGGUUUUGCUGUCACUUAUAGAUGGAUCCGCGCCGCAUUAGCUAGUUGGUAAGGUAACGGCUUACCAAGGCAACGAUGCGUAGCCGACCUGAGAGGGUGAUCGGCCACACUGGAACUGAGACACGGUCCAGACUCCUACGGGAGGCAGCAGUAGGGAAUCUUCCGCAAAGGGCGAAAGCCUGACGGAGCAACGCCGCGUGAGUGAUGAAGGUCUUCGGAUCGUAAAACUCUGUUAUUAGGGAAGAACAAAUGUGUAAGUAACUAUGCACGUCUUGACGGUACCCUAUCAGAAAGCCACGGCUAACUACGUG
rnacentral:rRNA from 1 species